UCCAAAGACCUUCAGGUUGAAGGAAUGGAGUU
rnacentral:piRNA from 2 species